AUUAUGUCGGUUGUUAAGCUGAGAAAAAAAUUUUAUUUUGGUUAUUUAAUUAGAUUUUUCUUGGUAUUACAUGUAAGUAUGAGCGGGAGUAUAAAUAUAUUUUAAUAAUGUAUUGGGCAAAUUGUUCACAGUAAGUAAAUUUAAAAAUUAAAGUAAUUUAGAUUUAGGUAUAGAUUUUAAUAUUAACAAAUUUUGUGCCAGCAGUUGCGGUUAUACAAAUAAUAUAAUUUAAUUUUUUUAGUUAGAGUUAAUUUGAUUUAUUAAAAAUUUUUAAAUUAAGAUUAAUUAGGUGGAAUUUUUUAUUUUAAUUAAGAUUUAUUUUUUAAAUGAGGCUUGAAAAUUUAUUUUUAGACUAGGAUUAGAUACCCUAUUAUUUUAAAUGUAAAUUAUUUAUUACUAAAUUAGUAUCAGUUAUUUUCUUGAAAAUUAAAAAAUUUGGCGGUAUUUUAGUCUUUUCAGAGGAACCUGUCCUGUAAUUGAUAAUCCACGAUUAAAAAUACUUUAUUUUUUAAUUUAUAUAUCGUUGUAGUUUAAAUAUUUUAUUAGAAAUUGAAUAUUUAUAAUUUUGAAUUAAAAAGUAAAUCAGAUCAAGGUGUAGUUUAUAAUAAAGUAGAGAUGGGUUACAAUAAAUUAAUUUAAGGAUAAUUUUUUUUAAAGGGAUUUGAAUUUGGAUUUGAUAGUAAUUUUAUAUAAUUUAUAUAAGAUGAUUUAAGCUCUAAAAUAUGCACAUAUCGCCCGUCGCUUUCACUUUAAAGUGGAAUAAGUCGUAACAAAGUAGGCGUACUGGAAAGUGUGCCUAGAAAGA
rnacentral:ncRNA from 1 species